ensembl:lncRNA
GACUCAGCUCCACCAAGGGACAAAGGAGGAAGCAGAAGCAUACAUCACUACUUUCCCUGGGAGGUAUAAUCUGGAACAGAAUAUGUGCUAAUUAAAUGCUAAUAGUUCUAAAUAAAAGAUGUGGUAAUUUUUCUGAAAUAAUUAGGACUAGCCACCAGCACAGCACCAAGGGUGUGAUCAUUACCCCAUGCCGCCCUCCAUUCCACAUGGAGAAAAUCUCAUUUUCCCAAGGAAAUGAUUUCUUCAGUUUGAAUUAUGCCAGGCACAAUAAAUAUUACAGUCACUUCUCAAGGAAAACCAUAUCAAGCCUUCCGAGCUCUUUUUGGAGUAACAGUCACUACACUGUACUUGUUUGUAGAGAAAAAAACAACAAAAAUGCAGUCUGUACAUCCUACUCAUCGAGAAUGGUGUACCAGUCUGAAUCAAUCCCUCUUUAUGGUUGGAGGCACCAGUGGCAAGGCCCCAUGUUUUCCUUGAAGGCGAUGGAGGAGCCAGCGGGGCUGGUGCUGCAGUGGCUUGCUGCAUGCCAUUCUGCAGCUUAGGAGGGCUCUGGAUUCAGAAGGGUAUCAGGAGGGUAGAGAAGGGCUGUAGUCCUGAUUUUGUUCUGGGAAAAGCAUCUAGUUCACUGACAGAAGAUUAAGGCACAGUGUUUCCUUCCAUCUGCUGCUGAUUAAUGCAAUUCAAGGUCAUGAGAACUUUUAGUUAAGAAUUUCUUGAUUUUUUUUUUUUAACAUCUGUGUCACUUAAUUGGGUUAAUGUAACUCUAAAAUUUAAUUGGAUUAACGUAAGUACAUAAAUCAUGAAGUACUCGCUUCACAAAGGUUAACAGCAGUACAUUGGUUCUCACAGAUAAAACAGAUUUCACAAGUUCAGUUCUGAUUUCAUUUGUACUCUUUAAAAUUACCUCCUGUACAAAUUACUAUUAUUCCCUUAUGAUGAACCCAACUACAUGCAUUGAAGAGGCAAGUGAUGGAUUGAGCCAAUCAGCAUCUUCCACAUCAAUUCCAGUACUCAAAGAAUUGUUGGAUUUUUACGUAGGGUUCCUGAAAGUAAUGCUUCCUUGUUUCCACAGGUACCAUAACAGCACAAAAACACUAUAGGAUAGAGCAAAUUCUCAGAUACAAAACACCGUUUUUCAGUGUAGUCACUACCAUUAGUUGUGCAUUUUCACCAGCAAUGAACAAGAGCCUGCAUGCUGCACUCAAAAAUCUGCACCAGUGGAGGCGACCCACUGUCACUGUUGCCACUGCUGAAGUGCACACCACUCACUGCCUCACUCUGCUUAUAUCCACUAUUUGGUCUCCAGAAUUGUUCAGCAAGCAUCAGCAAAUGUCAGUGUGUUCCUUCCACCCCGACCCCCCCCCCGGCCUCCCCCAUCCUUGCAUAGAGGAAUUCCAUUCCACAGUUUUGAAUCACAUGCACUUCCAUGUCAGACAUCAUUUUGUCAGACUGCCCCCCUCCGCUGCCAUCUGUCACACAGCAACAACAUGUAAUGGAAUAUUGGUGGGAAGGUUCAACCUCUACUGCCAUACCACCAGAAUCUGCCUGUGACAUCAUGGGCCAACAUAAUAAAAUAGGGGACAUUACUUUUGGUGUGGCCCUCAUAAUUACCAAUUGGCCUCUCUAAUUUCUAGCUGCUACCUCUUGCUUUGCCUUUCUCCAAUGUAAGGCAUGUUAGAGAGUCUGAGCAUUUAUACAUGGGUUAGUGAACCCCUGGUUUCAAAAGGUACCCUCACAGAAGUGCAGUGCUGGACAUAGAGGAUGCUUGCAUACACAAGAUUUCUGAUUUCUCUCAUUUUAAGGUUGGGACUUGAGGUUCUUAGGCUCCAAUAUAUUUCCACUUGUUACACUGCAAAAUUUCUCUUAAUUCAGAGAACAAUUUUUAUGAUUGCUCUGUUUUUGGCCAGCCUGUAAAAGACCAUAAUAUAUUGUUUUUCCCUAACGACUACUGGGAUUUUCUAAUAAAUCUAACGGCUAAAUU